rnacentral:rRNA from 1 species
UGCUAAUACCGGAUAACAACAGAUGAUGCCUAUCAACUGUUUAAAAGAUGGUUCUGCUAUCACUCUUGGAUGGACCUGCGGUGCAUUAGCUAGUUGGUAGGGUAACGGCCUACCAAGGCGAUGAUGCAUAGCCGAGUUGAGAGACUGAUGGCCACAUUGGGACUGAGACACGGCCCAAACUCCUACGGGAGGCAGCAGCC